CGUCCUGUAGCCACUGACUGCUUCCUGUGUGGGGCAGAGCAUCACACAGCUCGGUAACAUCGCUUGUACCUCUCGAGCAUAGGGUGCAGAAUUCAGGUCUGGAUUUGCAUAGGACAUAGACCAUUUCAUUCAUGGGAAAAGCUACCAAGAUGCGGAUCAGCAGCCUUUUCAGGGCAGUCAUGGCCUCCAUCUGUCUCGGAGCCAGUGUGGCCCAGAAGGUAACCCAAGCUCAGACUGCAACUUCUGUGGUGGAGAAGGAGCCGGUGACUCUGCACUGUGUGUAUGAAACCAGUAACCCUACUUACUACUUGUUCUGGUACAAACAACUACCAAGCGGAGAAAUGAUUUUCCUCAUUCGUCAGGACUCUUAUAAUGAGAAAAACGCAACGGAGGGUCGGUAUUCUCUGAACUUUCAGAAAGCAGUCAGAGCCAUCAGCCUCACCAUCACAGCCUCACAGCUUGUGGACUCAGCAGUGUACUUCUGUGCGCUGAGAGAAAACCCACAGUGCGAUGGGUGCCUGCAGAGGCUCUACCAAAACCUCAGCGGGAGGCAGGGCCUCUGAGGAGAGGUUUAUCAGACAGGAAGAAGCAGGAGCCGACAGCACAGGUGGUGGUGUAGCAGUGAAACCUUAAUUUAAUUCAUGUAGAAUGUCAGGACAAUCCUUUUUGGAAGUAUAUGCAUCUUCUGUUCUUUAGAAUAGAUUGUGAUAAAAUGUAAAUAAAAUAUAAAUAUAAAACAAGAGGGUGCAAUAAGAAAACCAUUCAAACCUGUGUUGGUUCUAUUGAGGUGGGGAAAGUAUCAGAUUAUCCUUAGGCAAUAUGGGUGAUUCCCUUGAUGAGUUGUUAAAUUUUUAGAGUCAUCGAUAU